rnacentral:rRNA from 1 species
UACGAGGGGGCGAGCGUUGUUCGGAAUUAUUGGGCGUAAAGGGUGCGUAGGCGGCCUGACAAGUCUGAUGUGAAAUCCCUGGGCUCAACCCAGGGCCUGCAUCGGAAACUGUCGGGCUUGAGUAUGGGAGAGGUGAGUGGAAUUUCCGGUGUAGCGGUGAAAUGCGUAGAUAUCGGAAGGAACACCUGUGGCGAAAGCGGCUCACUGGACCAUUACUGACGCUGAGGCACGAAAGCUAGG